CCUACGGGUGGCAGCAGUCGAGAAUCAUUCACAAUGGGCGCAAGUCUGAUGCUGCGACGCCGCGUGGGGGAAUGCAGGUCUUCGGAUUGUAAACCGCUGUCAUGCGGGAGCAAAUUAAAAAGAUAGUACCACAAGAGGAAGAGACGGCUAACUCUGUGCCAGCAGCCGCGGUAAUACAGAGGUCUCAAGCGUUGUUAGGAAUCACUGGGCGUAAAGCGUGCGUAGGCUGUUGCGUAAGGCGUGUGUGAAAGGCGCGGGCUCAACCCGCGGACGGCACAUGCUACUGCGAGACUAGAGUGUUGGAGGGGGAGGCGGAAUGCACGGUGUAGCAGUGAAAUGCGUAGAUAUCG
rnacentral:rRNA from 1 species